rnacentral:lncRNA from 1 species
GUUUGGUUUGCCAUCACUUUUUGUGACUUUUCUGACAUCUGCAAGUGUCGGAAGUGUGACCUGAAACAUUUAAGGACACUUCUGCCUGAACCAUGGGCAGAUGUUUAGACUCCAAGAUACAGAGGAGGAGGGUCUUGGAGGUUUCUUAGUAUAAGUUCCUCCCUGUGGUACUUGCAGUUCCUACAAGGGGCUGUCAGAGAAACAAGCCGGAGCAGAAGAGCAAGACAUGGUCCUGGUGCAUGAAAGGAGCCUAAGAAAGAAGAGUGAAAGCUGCACGUGUGAAGGAAAUGAAUUUUCCUCAUUGUACACAUUCCGAGAAAAAUGAGGCUAAGACUAUUUCAAAGGAUGUUCUACCUAAUUCGAAUGGGCUUUAAGUGCCAUCUUCACAAUAGCGCCAGAGUCUGGUGUCAGCAAACUGAACAAAUAGAGCUACAGGGAGCGAAUGGGGCUGGGUGCCUCUCCAAAACAUAUGCAGAUGAACUUGAGAUUUCAGAGGACGGUUAAUCCUACACAGCAGUCAAGUGCCUUCCCAGGGAGCAUCCUGGCAGGCAUCCACUGUGCCAUAUGCUUUCGGGAAGUCUGGAUGCUGAAUGUGGUGGCUGUGGGGAAUUGAGCCUUAUUGCUUCAUAAGAUUCCUGGUGGUAGAACUAUUCUGAACAAGAACACGUCCGUCCCCAUAGGUGUGCUCCAAGAAUCACAGAAUAAGAAGGGACUUCGGAGAGAGCCUCACACAGUUGGGCAAUGGGAGCCCAGAGAGGCAAGGAAGGCUCCUUGCCCAAAGUCUUGUACAUCUGAAUCUGCAACUCCUGACUAUUUUUGAGUCUUAUGCUCCAGGCUAAAACUUGUGACUUUAAGUGUGAUGUUCUCGGUGAUGAUUAAUCUAGGAUGUUUCUGUUGUUUUCUUACCGUCAAAGAAUUAACAUCAAAAGGAAAGGAAGGAAGAAAUGUAGAAGUGAAGGCAAGAAGGAAGGAAGGAGGAAAGGAAGGAAGGAAAAUAUAGGCUUUGGGUAAAAAUAAGUUUCUACUCAACACUGACAAAGGUACAGGUUUUGGACAUUGGUUUCCUAAUCUGUAAAUGAGGAAUAGUCAUCACAUCGCUGUCCUGGCUGGUUUUGUGUGUCAACUUGACACAAGCUGGAGUUAUCACAGAGAAAGGAAAGAAAAUGCCUCCAUGAGAUCUAGCUGUAAAUGGAUUAGUGAUCAAGAGUGGGAGGGCCCAGUGUGGGUGGUGCCAUCCCUGGACUGGUGGUCCUGGGUUCUACAAGAAAACAAGCUGAGCAAGCCAGGGGAAGCAAGCCAGGGGAACAUCCCUCCACGGCUCUGCAUCAGCUCCUGCUUCCUGCCCUGUGUGAGUUCCAGUCCUGACUUCCUUUGGUGACGAACAGCAAUGUGAUAGUAUAAGCUGAAUAAACCCUUUCCUCCCCAAC